AGUGAACGCUGGCGGCAGGCCUAACACAUGCAAGUCGAACGGCAGCACAGUGGAGCUUGCUCCAUGGGUGGCGAGUGGCGGACGGGUGAGGAAUACAUCGGAAUCUGCCCAGUCGUGGGGAUAACAUAGGGAAACUUAUGCUAAUACCGCAUACGACCUACGGGUGAAAGCGGGGAUCGCAAGACCUCGCGCGAUUGGAUGAGCCGAUGUCCGAUUAGCUAGUUGCGGGGUAAUGGGCCCACCAAGGCGACGAUCGGUAGCUGGUCUGAGAGGAUGAUCAGCCACACUGGAACUGAGAC
rnacentral:rRNA from 1 species